UACGGGGGGGACUAGCGUUGUUCGGAUUUACUGGGCGUAAAGGGCGUGUAGGCGGGCUUUCAAGUCGGAUGUGAAAACCGGAGGCUUAACCUCCGGCUUGCAUUCGAGACUGUUAGUCUUGAGUACGGGAGAGGAAAGCGGAAUUCCAGGUGUAGCGGUGAAAUGCGUAGAUAUCUGGAAGAACACCAGUAGCGAAGGCGGCUUUCUGGCCCGAUACUGACGCUAAAGCGCGAAGGCUAGGGGAGCAAACAGG
rnacentral:rRNA from 1 species